rnacentral:rRNA from 1 species
UACGUAGGCGGAAUAAUAAGUCAGUGGUGAAAUCCUGCGGCUCAACCGUAGAACUGCCAUUGAUACUGAUAUUCUUGAAUGUAGUUGAGGUAGGCGGAAUGUGUAAUGUAGCGGUGAAAUGCUUAGAUAUUACACAGAACACCGAUUGCGAAGGCAGCUUACUAAACUAUGAUUGACGCUGAGGCACGAAAGCGUGGGGAGCGAACAGGAUUAGAUACCCUGGUAGUCC